AGUGAACGCUGGCGGUAGGCCUAACACAUGCAAGUCGAACGGCAGCACAGUAAGAGCUUGCUCUUACGGGUGGCGAGUGGCGGACGGGUGAGGAAUACAUCGGAAUCUACUUUUUCGUGGGGGAUAACGUAGGGAAACUUACGCUAAUACCGUAUACGACCUACGGGUGAAAGCAGGGGUUCUUCGGACCUUGCGCGAUUGAAUGAGCCGAUGUCGGAUUAGCUAGUUGGCGGGGUAAAGGCCCACCAAGGCGACGAUCCGUAGCUGGUCUGAGAGGAUGAUCAGCCACACUGGAACUGAGACACGGUCCAGACUCCUACGGGAGGCAGCAGUGGGGAAUAUUGGACAAUGGGCGCAAGCCUGAUCCAGCCAUACCGCGUGGGUGAAGAAGGCCUUCGGGUUGUAAAGCCCUUUUGUUGGGAAAGAAAAGCAGCAGGUUAAUACCCCGCUGUUCUGACGGUACCCAAAGAAUAAGCACCGGCUAACUUCGUG
rnacentral:rRNA from 1 species